GACAGAGGGUGCAAACGUUGUUCGGAAUUACUGGGCGUAAAGCGCGUGUAGGCGGUUCGGAAAGUCGGGUGUGAAAGCCCUGGGCUCAACCCAGGAAGUGCACUCGAAACUCCCGAGCUAGAGUCCUGGAGAGGAAGGCGGAAUUCUCGGUGUAGAGGUGAAAUUCGUAGAUAUCGAGAGGAACAUCGGUGGCGAAGGCGGCCUUCUGGACGGCGACUGACGCUGAGACGCGAAAGCGUGGGGAGCAAACAGG
rnacentral:rRNA from 1 species